UAGCGUAGGGGGCAAGCGUUGUCCGGAAUCAUUGGGCGUAAAGCGCGUGUAGGCGGCCCGGUAAGUCCGCUGUGAAAGUCGGGGGGCUCAACCCUCGAAUGCCGGUGGAUACUGUCGGGCUAGAGUGCGGGAGAGGCGGAGUGGAAUUCCUGGUGUAGCGGUGGAAUGCGCAGAUAUCAGGAGGAACACCGGUGGCGAAGGCGGGUCUCUGGGGCAGUAACUGACGCUGAGGAGCGAAAAGCGUGGGGGAGCGAACAGG
rnacentral:rRNA from 1 species